rnacentral:rRNA from 1 species
GCCAGCAUUCAGUUGGGCACUUUAAGGUGACUGCCGGUGACAAACCGGAGGAAGGUGGGGAUGACGUCAAAUCAUCAUGCCCCUUAUGACCUGGGCUACACACGUGCUACAAUGGACAGAACAAAGGGCUGCAAGACCGCAAGGUUUAGCCAAUCCCAUAAAUCUGUUCUCAGUUCGGAUCGCAGUCUGCAACUCGACUGCGUGAAGCUGGAAUCGCUAGUAAUCGCGGAUCAGCAUGCCGCGGUGAAUACGUUCCCGGGCCUUGUACACACCGCCCGUCACACCACGAGAGUUUGCAACACCCGAAGUCGG